rnacentral:rRNA from 1 species
GUGGCGAACGGGUGAGUAAUACAUAAAUAACCUGCCCCUAUUUCUGGAAUAACAGUUGGAAACGACUGUUAAUGCCGGAUAAUGUUCUUGAGAACCUUCUUGAGAAACGAAAGAUGCUUUCGCAUCGCAAAGGGAUGGAUUUAUGGCGCAUUAGUUAGUUGGUGAGGUAACGGCUCACCAAGACGAUGAUGCGUAGCCGGCCUGAGAGGGUGACCGGCCACACUGGGACUGAGACACGGCCCAGACUCCUACGGGAGGCAGCAGUAGGGAAUUUUCGGCAAUGGGGGAAACCCUGACCGAGCGACGCCGCGUGAGUGAAGAAGGCCUUCGGGUUGUAAAGCUCUGUUGUAAGGGAAGAACCGUAGUGAUAGGCAAUGAUCACUACCUGACGGUACCUUACCAGAAAGCCACGGCUAACUACGUGCCAGCAGCCGCGGUAAUACGUAGGGUGCGAGCGUUGUCCGGAAUUAUUGGGCGUAAAGAGCUCGUAGGCGGUUUGUUGCGCCUGCUGUGAAAACCUGGGGCUUAACUUCGGGAUUGCAGUGGGUACGGGCAGACUAGAGUGUGGUAGGGGUAAUUGGAAUUCCUGGUGUGGCGGUGGAAUGCGCAGAUAUCAGGAGGAACACCGAUGGCGAAGGCAGGUUACUGGGCCACCACUGACGCUGAGGAGCGAAAGCGUGGGUAGCGAACAGGAUUAGAUACCCUGGUAGUCCACGCCGUAAACGUUGGGCACUAGGUGUGGGGCCUUUCCAUGGGUUCUGCGCCGUAGCUAACGCA